rnacentral:rRNA from 1 species
UCGAAGGAGUGGCGAACGGGUGAGUAAUACAUAAGCAACCUACCCACGAAGACUGGGAUAAUCUCUGGAAACGGGGACUAAUACCGGAUAGGUAAUCGGAAAGGCAUCUUCUGGUUAUUAAAGGUUAAAAACACUGGUGGAUGGGCUUAUGGCGCAUUAGUUAGUUGGUGAGGUAACGGCCCACCAAGACGAUGAUGCGUAGCCGGCCUGAGAGGGUGAACGGCCACAUUGGGACUGAGACACGGCCCAGACUCCUACGGGAGGCAGCAGGU